rnacentral:tRNA from 1 species
AACAUAGAAGUAAAAAUUACAAUUAGUUUCGACCUAAUUUAAGAGAACUUCUCCAUGUUU